rnacentral:rRNA from 1 species
CUUUAGGGCUAGCCUCAAGGUGAGAGAUACGGAGGUAGAGCACUGAAUGUCCUAGGGGGUAUUGCACCUACCGAAGACUAUCAAACUCCGAAUGCCGUCAUCUUAUACUUGGGAGUCAGACUGUGGGUGAUAAGAUUCAUAGUCGAAAGGGCAACAGCCCAGAUCGUCAGCUAAGGUCCCUAAAUGUAAGUUAAGUGGUAAAGGAUGUGGGAUUGCACAGACAACCAGGAUGUUGGCUUAGAAGCAGCCACUCAUUCAAAGAGUGCGUAAUAGCUCACUGGUCGAGU